CCUACGGGAGGCAGCAGUGGGGAAUUUUCCGCAAUGGGCGAAAGCCUGACGGAGCAACGCCGCGUGAGGGAUGAAGGCCUCUGGGCUGUAAACCUCUUUUAUCAAGGAAGAAGAUCUGACGGUACUUGAUGAAUAAGCCACGGCUAAUUCCGUGCCAGCAGCCGCGGUAAUACGGGAGUGGCAAGCGUUAUCCGGAAUUAUUGGGCGUAAAGCGUCCGCAGGCGGUUUUGUAAGUCUGUCGUUAAAGCGUGGAGCUUAACUCCAUUUCAGCGAUGGAAACUGCAAGACUAGAGUGUGGUAGGGGCAGAGGGAAUUCCCGGUGUAGCGGUGAAAUGCGUAGAUAUCGGGAAGAACACCAGUGGCGAAGGCGCUCUGCUGGGCCAUAACUGACGCUCAUGGACGAAAGCCAGGGGAGCGAAAGGGAUUAGAUACCCCUGUAGUCCUGGCCGUAAACGAUGAACACUAGGUGUCGGGGGAAUCGACCCCCUCGGUGUCGUAGCCAACGCGUUAAGUGUUCCGCCUGGGGAGUACGCACGCAAGUGUGAAACUCAAAGGAAUUGACGG
rnacentral:rRNA from 1 species